rnacentral:tRNA from 1 species
AGCUUAGUAGUUAAUUUAUAAUAGUAAAUUGCAAGUUUAAAGUAAAGAUGUUUCUUUUAAGCUU